UACGUAGGGUGCGAGCGUUGUCCGGAAUUAUUGGGCGUAAAGAGCUUAUAGGCGGUCUGUCGCGUCUGCUGUGAAAAUCCGGGGCUCAACCCCGGACUUGCAGUGGGUACGGGCAGGCUAGAGUGUGGUAGGGGAGACUGGAAUUCCUGGUGUAGCGGUGAAAUGCGCAGAUAUCAGGAGGAACACCGAUGGCGAAGGCAGGUCUCUGGGCCACUACUGACGCUGAGAAGCGAAAGCAUGGGGAGCGAACAGG
rnacentral:rRNA from 1 species